AGCCCAAAAGCUAGCCCACCCACCAGAUUAACAACUAAUUAUUAAUAUCCUCAAAAACCCUACCCCAAAAUAAACAAACCAUUUUUCCGUCCUAGUAUGUGCGACAGAAAAG
rnacentral:rRNA from 1 species